UUUUUUUUACUGCCAAGCUAGCCUUGGGAAGAAUGUACCGCUCCGUCCCUAUGUUGGUCUUCUUUUGAAUCGGAGCGUCCGCUUGUAACAAAGCCAGAAUCUCGGACGACAACUUAUAAGUAAAGAGUCUCUUAUAGCGAUGAUAUUAUUUCCUUUAAUUUUUGCAAAAAUCACUCCUAGACGAAUAAUUUUUGAAAGCACUCCACUUCAAUGUAUGUUAAUGGGCUUACCUUUUAUAUAAGCGGAGGAGCUUUUAUUUACGUGCGUGAGUUAUAAAUGUAU
rnacentral:lncRNA from 1 species